AAUAGAUACCCAGGUAGUCCACGCCCUAAACUAUGUCUACUAGUUGUCGGGGAUUUAUUUCCUUGGUAACGCAGCUGACGCGUGAAGUAGACCGCCUGGGGAGUACGGCCGCAAGGUUAAAACUCAAAGGAAUUGACGGGGACCCGCACAAGCGGUGGAUGAUGUGGAUUAAUUCGAUGCAACGCGAAAAACCUUACCUACACUUGACAUGUCGGAAACUUUCCAGAGAUGGAUUGGUGCCCGAAAGGGAAUCCGAACACAGGUGCUGCAUGGCUGUCGUCAGCUCGUGUCGUGAGAUGUUGGGUUAAGUCCCGCAACGAGCGCAACCCUUAUCAUUAGUUGCUACGCAAGGGCACUCUAGUGAGACUGCCGGUAACAAACCGGAGGAAGGUGGGGAUGACGUCAAGUCCUCAUGGCCCUUAUGUGUAGGGCUUCACACGUCAUACAAUGGUCGGUACAGAGGGUCGCCAACCCGCGAGGGGGAGCAAAUCCCAGAAAACCGAUCGUAGUCCGGAUUGCAGUCUGCAACUCGA
rnacentral:rRNA from 1 species